UUGAAAAUCCAGCUCAGAUGUGGUCUCCAGUGGAUAAAAAACUAUAGAGGAAAUUUUCAAAAAAUAAUAGAAGAAACAAAUGAGAAUUCACAUUCCCUUUAUAAGACAAGGAUACAGGCCAACUUCAAAGGACUCGAGAAAGGAUUUCCAUCAUCCUGGAAGGAACAGAUGUAGUCUGAAUGCAGAUUGAAACAAACCAUUCUUCCCUUUGUUUCCUCCAUGGAUUUUUUUCCUUAGUUCUAGGUUAUAGCAAUAUUAUCUAGAGCCAGAAAACAAGAAAAGAUCAUUCAAGGAUGAAAAAUAUUUGAUAAACUGUCAAGCUCCGAGAAGUCACUAAGGAAGAGGGGAAAGAAGCCAUGGAAUGAGAAUACCUUCCUUGCUGAAGAUAUUUGUAUUUAAAAGUCAAACCAGUAGAUUCUAUGAAUAUUCUUUAUGGGCCAAGACACUGGGAUUAUGGUGACUACUCAGAAUCUUUUCCACAGAAUAAAAAAUGAAUCAAUGGAACA
rnacentral:lncRNA from 1 species